GCUGCAGAGCUCAGGGCCCUCACUGAGCAUGGGCAGCAGCACCCAAACCAGGGUUUAGAGGAUGCACUGACUGGCAAAGCUGCAGCAGGAGAUCACUUCCUAAGCAUUCAAAUUGAUUUGGACUGUGCUGCAAGAAUAUUAAUGAUGACAGGGGAAAGGUCAUUAAUGAAGCAGCUGAAGAUGGCAGACUGAGGAACUGUAGAGAUGUCCAGGAAGCUAAGAUGAUUGACAUCAAACAACCACAAAUAUCUUCCUUUGAGAUAGAUAUGACACUAAACAGUGAACAGUUUUCCCUAUGAUUCCAGUUUUGUUCGAGCUUCAUAAUAAUGUACUCAAUCAAAUUCUGUCCAGAUGUACUAGAAAUAUAGUAGCAGCAGUAGGCUAAUUCAGCCCCUUUAAAUCUGCUGUGCCAUUCAAUAUGAUCAUGGUUGAUCAUCAAACUCAAUAAACUGUUCCUGAUCUUUCCCAUAUUUUUUGAUUCCUUUAGCUGUAUUCAGUU